AGCCCCUAGCGCAGACGGCGGAGAGCAGAGAGGGAGCGCGCCUUGGCUCGCUGGCCUUGGCGGCGGCUCCUCAGGAGAGCUGGGGCGCCCACGAGAGGAUCCCUCACCCGGGUCUCUCCUCAGGGAUGACAUCAUCCGUCCACCUCCUUGUCUUCAAGGACCACCUCCUCUCCAUGCUGAGCUGCUGCCAAGGGGCCUGCUGCCCAUCUACACCUCACGAGGGCACUAGGAGCACGGUUUCCUGGAUCCCACCAACAUACAAAGCAGCCACUCACUGACCCCCAGGACCAGGAUGGCAAAGGAUGAAGAGGACCGGAACUGACCAGCCAGCUGUCCCUCUUACCUAAAGACUUAAACCAAUGCCCUAGUGAGGGGGCAUUGGGCAUUAAGCCCUGACCUUUGCUAUGCUCAUACUUUGACUCUAUGAGUACUUUCCUAUAAGUCUUUGCUUGUGUUCACCUGCUAGCAAACUGGAGUGUUUCCCUCCCCAAGGGGGUGUCAGUCUUUGUCGACUGACUCUGUCAUCACCCUUAUGAUGUCCUGAAUGGAAGGAUCCCUUUGGGAAAUUCUCAGGAGGGGGACCUGGGCCAAGGGCUUGGCCAGCAUCCUGCUGGCAACUCCAAGGCCCUGGGUGGGCUUCUGGAAUGAGCAUGCUACUGAAUCACCAAAGGCACGCCCGACCUCUCUGAAGAUCUUCCUAUCCUUUUCUGGGGGAAUGGGGUCGAUGAGAGCAACCUCCUAGGGUUGUUGUGAGAAUUAAAUGAGAUAAAAGAGGCCUCAGGCAGGAUCUGGCAUAGAGGAGGUGAUCAGCAAAUGUUUGUUGAAAAGGUUUGACAGGUCAGUCCCUUCCCACCCCUCUUGCUUGUCUUACUUGUCUUAUUUAUUCUCCAACAGCACUCCAGGCAGCCCUUGUCCACGGGCUCUCCUUGCAUCAGCCAAGCUUCUUGAAAGGCCUGUCUACACUUGCUGUCUUCCUUCCUCACCUCCAAUUUCCUCUUCAACCCACUGCUUCCUGACUCGCUCUACUCCGUGGAAGCACGCUCACAAAGGCACGUGGGCCGUGGCCCGGCUGGGUCGGCUGAAGAACUGCGGAUGGAAGCUGCGGAAGAGGCCCUGAUGGGGCCCACCAUCCCGGACCCAAGUCUUCUUCCUGGCGGGCCUCUCGUCUCCUUCCUGGUUUGGGCGGAAGCCAUCACCUGGAUGCCUACGUGGGAAGGGACCUCGAAUGUGGGACCCCAGCCCCUCUCCAGCUCGAAAUCCCUCCACAGCCACGGGGACACCCUGCACCUAUUCCCACGGGACAGGCUGGACCCAGAGACUCUGGACCCGGGGCCUCCCCUUGAGUAGAGACCCGCCCUCUGACUGAUGGACGCCGCUGACCUGGGGUCAGACCCGUGGGCUGGACCCCUGCCCACCCCGCAGGAACCCUGAGGCCUAGGGGAGCUGUUGAGCCUUCAGUGUCUGCAUGUGGGAAGUGGGCUCCUUCACCUACCUCACAGGGCUGUUGUGAGGGGCGCUGUGAUGCGGUUCCAAAGCACAGGGCUUGGCGCACCCCACUGUGCUCUCAAUAAAUGUGUUUCCUGUCUUAACAAAAA
rnacentral:lncRNA from 1 species